rnacentral:rRNA from 1 species
CUUANCAUGCAGUCGAACGAUGAACCCGCUUCGGUGGGGGAUUAGUGGCGAACGGGUGAGUAACACGUGGGCAAUCUGCCCUUCACUCUGGGACAAGCCCUGGAAACGGGGUCUAAUACCGGAUAACACCUUCUGCCUCCUGGCAGAAGGUUAAAAGCUCCGGCGGUGAAGGAUGAGCCCGCGGCCUAUCAGCUAGUUGGUGGGGUAAUGGCCUACCAAGGCGACGACGGGUAGCCGGCCUGAGAGGGCGACCGGCCACACUGGGACUGAGACACGGCCCAGACUCCUACGGGAGGCAGCAGUGGGGAAUAUUGCACAAUGGGCGAAAGCCUGAUGCAGCGACGCCGCGUGAGGGAUGACGGCCUUCGGGUUGUAAACCUCUUUCAGCAGGGAAGAAGCGAAAGUGACGGUACCUGCAGAAGAAGCGCCGGCUAACUACGUGCCAGCAGCCGCGGUAAUACGUAGGGCGCAAGCGUUGUCCGGAAUUAUUGGGCGUAAAGAGCUCGUAGGCGGCCAGUCGCGUCGGGUGUGAAAGACCGGGGCUUAACCCCGGUUCUGCAUUCGAUACGGGCUGGCUAGAGUGUGGUAGGGGAGAUCGGAAUUCCUGGUGUAGCGG